AGAACUUGAGAAUAGACUGACUGCUGAUCUGAACAUUUUCAGUCAGCUUUCUUUCUCCGACUAUCACUGCAUUUAAAUGAGCGAAGGGAAAUGAACAAAGGCUGGAUUUGAUCACAUCAGUUUAAUAAUAGUAGACACUUAAGUGGCAGGAGGUUGACCGGUUCAGUAUGUCCCUUGACUCCAGCACAAGCAGCGGGGAUUGGCUCCAGUCCUUUGCGACUGAGGCAAUAAGCAGAAGGGAAUACGAUGAGCUGGUCAUGCCUGAAACACCUCCAAUGGGCGGCCUCAAGGGGGCAUCCUCAUGAGACCCCCAAACCACCUGAACUGACUCUUUUCAAAGCAGAGAAGCAGCGGUACUACUCCGAGUCCCUCCCAAGUGACAGAACUCCUCACCUUAUCUCUAAGGGAGAUGCCAGCCACCUGUCAGAGAAAACUCUGAGGUGAGGAGCAGGUGGAGGGAUUGUAUCUCUUCUGUGGCCUGGGAGUGUGUUAA